rnacentral:lncRNA from 1 species
GAGUUCUUUAAUGACCAUUGAUUACAACGUACUAUACAACAAUUAACUAUAAAUACACAGAUGUGCUAUAUGAACAAUUGAAGGCAUUAAACCUACCAUUUACAGAUCUUCCCAACUAAAAAACUCCAGCAUCAGGCAUCAACCCUACUCUCUGUAACCAGGAUACUCUUUGCCAUUAUGGACAUUCAAAGUCUCUGAUCACUGUAUGUACCAGCUACUUCUGCUCUCAAUUUAGUUGUGAGGGUAAUCAAUCCUAUGAAAUCCACAGACAAGAUUUCCUCAUUGAUGUGCAAUAAAAAUUGUAGGUACGGUUGGGCUUAAUUGAUAAAAGAGUAUAAGUAGGCCUGAAUCAGUGUCUAGAUUUUAAUCCUAUUGUUUAUCUUCAAGUGAAACGGUUACGAAUGAUUUACGCAGCAAGAACUACAAACGACUGUCUCUAAUCGGAAGUAGUCUUAAGUCGCCGCACUAACAAUCGAACGAAAGCAAAUGAAAGCACAAUAUCAAUUUGGUGACACAGUUUGGUAUUUUACUUGGCGGAAUUUCAAGAGAAUGAAUGAAAUAUACAUAAGAGAAUGGAAGCACGAUUCAUACAGAUUUGAAAUCUUAUUCUAAGAAGCACAGCAACUGAAAUGAACAACUGGCCCAGAACUCCAGAAGAGGAAGCAAGGCAAUGUACAACAGAAAAGUGCUCCAGUGCCAACUUUCUCAUAGGGCAGUUGUUUUCAAGUUUGAACGACCAUGAAACCCUAGCUUCCCAUGCUUAAAAAAUAGCUCAAAAUCUAAAUUGCUUCAGAGCCCAUCAACAAGUGUACUCAUCAUUCGGAUCAGAAAUGAUUUUAAGAGGAAGGAAAUUUAAAAAAGUUCCAACCUUUUCUUUGACAGCUUCCCUUGCUUUGGAUUUCCAAUCUUCCUUGACGGUUUCCUCUGAUUUGGCUUCAAUUUCGUUGCCGAGCAGCUGCGUCCACUCCAACUGCGACGUUGAUACAAUCAAUAGGAACAGGAACACCACCACCCACGGCCUCGGCAUUCUGCAAUUUCGUUGAUCGUUUCGAUAGUCAGCUGUUUAAGUUUGUCGGAGCUCCUCCCACCCACCAACUUUCUAUGGUUUUCCGCAGUUGUAAUUGUCUAUGUUAAGUUGUCUCGACUGUCGGCAUAAAAUUACAUUUUGAUACCUAUGAGAAGUGGGUUAUUACUUCUAGGUCCAGAUUCUGGGAGCCAUUAGAAAAAGGUACGGGAUUUGUUCCAGAGGAUACACAGUGAAG